rnacentral:rRNA from 1 species
GAUGAACGCUAGCGGGAGGCCUAAUACAUGCAAGUCGAACGGUAACAGGGUAGCAAUACCGCUGACGAGUGGCGCACGGGUGCGUAACACGUACACAAUCUACCUUAUACUGGAGCAUAACCUCGGGAAACUGAGGCUAAUUCUCCAUAACAUAUUAAAAAGGCAUCUUUUUGAUAUUAAAACUCCGGUGGUAUAAGAUGAGUGCGCGUCUGAUUAGCUAGUUGGUGGGGUAAUGGCUCACCAAGGCAACGAUCAGUAGGGGGCCUGAGAGGGUUAUCCCCCACACUGGUACUGAGACACGGACCAGGCUCCUACGGGAGGCAGCAGUGAGGAAUAUUGGUCAAUGGACGAAAGUCUGAACCAGCCAUGCCGCGUGCAGGAUGAAUGCCCUAUGGGUUGUAAACUGCUUUUAUAUAGGAAUAAACCCCCUCUCGUGAGAGGGGCUGAAGGUACUAUAAGAAUAAGGACCGGCUAACUCCGUGCCAGCAGCCGCGGU